UUUCCUCAAUCAAACUAGCACUCAACAUGUGUUGCAUCAUGUUGAAGAAUCUAGGACGUUUGACUUUUUUACCGGUCACGACACCUUUUUGGCUUCCUUGAGUGCUCCAUCUGCAAAUCUAAAUGGUGGGAACACAUUCGUGCAGCCUUUCUGAGCAUCAAUUGCAGCCUGCUGGAGGUCAGAGUAAAAUCUUGUUCACAGAGGACCAUGUUGUCAAGACUUCCAAGAAAAUUCAUAACCAGAAGUUUGCAGAACUGACAGGCAAUGAAAUAGUUGUGGUAGUGAUAUAUUUAUAGAUCAGUAGUGCAAAACUUUGUAGUCAGAAAAGCAUGAUGUUUGGCUAAUUGGGUGAUUACAAGUUUCCUUGUAUCAGUUUCAACUGUGUGUUUACUAAUCAUUCGUUCAUGGACCAAUUUCUUUAUAAAUUAGCUUUAUAAUUUAUGAUAAUGCCAUGGUUCAGAUUUAUAUUUUUGGUAUGGUUUGAACAAGGUGAAUAAGCCAAAGUUUGAACACUAAAGUAUUAGAUUCUGCAUGUGACAUAACUGAAAAUGAAUGCAGCACUUCGCAUGGUUUGCCAUCCAUGCCCCUCUGCGGUAAAAAUGGGUUUAUCAGUUUAUAUUCAUGGACCGCAAUUGGAGGAAUAUAGGAUUUCUAUGGUUUAUGACAAACAUUCUGGUUUAAGUUCGUUUAAGGGACUGGACCAAAAACGAAGAAGAUAAGAAACUUACAUUAUCAGUGGACUAUCUGCAGAACCAUUGGAACAGUUAAGUGUGGAUGCAGGUACUAUGCACUGGUGACGGGACAAAAGCGGACGGAGCUGGGUGUGCGGAAUAAGUCCGGUAAACCAUCGGUUGGACUUUCUUCUACAUUCUUUUUCUCAAACUUCGUGUCUCGAAACUUGUUGAUAGUUAGCUUGUGUCAAUUUUAGUUCUCAUUCCUUAAAGUUCGUAUCC